GGAGAGGUGGCUGAGUGGUUGAAAGCACCGCACUGCUAACGCGGCAUAGGGUUUAACGCCCUAUCACGGGUUCGAAUCCCGUCCUCUCCGCCA
rnacentral:tRNA from 1 species